UGAGCAAUCUGCCCUUCACAUCGGAAUAACCAUUGGAAACGAUGGCUAAUACCGAAUAUGACUUCGGAUCGCAUGAUCUGAAGUGGAAAGCUCCGGCGGUGAAGGAUGAGCUCGCGGCCUAUCAGCUUGUUGGUGAGGUAAUAGCUCACCAAGGCGAUGACGGGUAGCUGGUCUGAGAGGAUGGCCAGCCACAUUGGGA
rnacentral:rRNA from 1 species